rnacentral:lncRNA from 1 species
GUCAGUAGGUGCCGCCCGCUCCAGUGUCCUGCGCGCCCUGACUUGGGGAAGGGAGGGCGGCGGGGAAAAGAGGAUGGGAAAACCGCCUCCAUCCAGGCGCAUGGCGAGCCCCCGGAGCGGCGGGGAAGAACGCGGGCAGUUCGAGGCGGGCCGGGACCGGGGCCCGGGAGCCGCACGGCUGCCAGGUCUGCUCGCCGGGGAGCCCGCCCCGCCCCGCGAGCCGGCUCGGGGGAAAGCUGGCGGUGUGGGGCCGUCUCCGCCCCGCUCCGAACCCUCGCCGGAGCUCUCCUACGCCCGAGGAGAUUGGAGAGGAGAGAGGCAGGAGAGGCGCCCAGCCGCACACGCCCGACCUCCGGAGCCUCCUCACCCAAAGAGCCCGCCGUUGGGGGGCGGAGGGGGCGGCGAACCUGCCCGCCGAGCGCCCGGACGCGCAGCUGUGGCAGUUGCUCUGGUGUGGGGGGAGAGAAGAGAGGAGUUGGAGGGGACGGAGGCGGAGCGGGAGCUGUUGACAGCCGGGCCAAAAAGGGGAGGGCGGAGGGGGGAGAUAGAGGUGGGGGUGGGGGAGCCCACGAGCGCGCGCGCAAUGGGGUGUGGGGGGGAAUGGGAGGGAAAGAGUUGGGGACACGUGAUGGGCAGACGCCCCCGCCACAGGCUGACAACGGUAGAGUGACGUAAUGGCCCCUAACAACGGGAGGCGGCACUUCCGUCCCCUUUCCCCAGCUCCUCCGCUACUUUACAGCGCUUGCCCCCGGCGCUGCCGUUGCUUUGCUAGGAAUUCUUAUUUCUCUCUACACCCUCUCUCCUGGAUAAGGAAACGGCAAAAUAUUCCCGUAUCUUUGCCAAGAACACCCCAAAAUGGGGUCAGCGAAAGUCGGACAAGACUAACGGCUAAGACCACCUUUCCCCAGCCUCCAUUCCUAGUCCUGUGUUCUCGCUUGGCCCGGAGCCAGGGCAUUUUUUUAACCCUCCCCCCCUCCCCCCGAGGGGCCGCGCCGCUCACGUUCCCGCCUCCCCAUUGUGUGAGCCACCGUUCGGGGCGGAGGCCAGAGCUGGACCCCCGCGGCUCCGCGUCCCGCCCGACCCCACGGCACUCGGGCGGCCCAGUCCCCGCAGCCCCGGACUCGGCCGCAGCUCGGCGCUGUGGCCGGAGUAGCUAGUGCGAGGGCGGGCUCGGAGGAAGGCCCCCUCCCUCCCCCCCAGCGAGGAGGAGGUGUCCCUCACUGGCCCGGCCUCCAGGAGGUGUUGCUCGGGCUCGUUGUGGGCACCGGGGGAGGGGCACGUUGUUCCCCCCCACCCGGGGGAAGCUGGGGCUUGGGGUGACUCAGCGCCGCAGCAGCUAUUUAUAGGUCGGUUCGUUGUGGGCUAAGGAGACUUCACCCGAAUCAGCACGCUCGAUACAAAAUAACGCCCUUUGCAAGAAUUGAACUGUUUAACUUAUAGAAAAGCAUAUGUUUGGCUGCCGGGGUGUAGCGCAGAAACUGUCUUUCAGAAACUCGUUGCCAUGGAACUACGUAACUUUUUGAGACAUUAGUGACGAUAGGUGAAUUUUGGGGGGACGCAGCAAAAAAACCCCAGUGCGCAUCCCCUUUGGUGUGCUACCUUGAGAGCGAUAUAAUCGGGGAAGGACCCCGCAGUCCUAUUUAGGAGGUUCUGAAACUAUAGGAACAAUGUUAUUUACUGUCCCGUUGCACCAAAUUUGUCAGCUGGGAGACAAUGAAAUCCAGAUCUGAGGUCAGAGGCUAAUUACAGAAUUUGUAAAAUAUAUGUUUUUAAACGUUACCAUGUGGUGCCUAGGUACAAAGUAACAGUGUCUCGUUCCUAUACGAAACUUGAAAAAAUGUAAUGAAGACAUUGUAAUUCUUACAAAAAAUAUGGCAAGAAAUUCUUUGAGGAUUUAUAGCGCUAAAUAGUUAUCAUGAGAAAUGAAACAAACCUAUCACUUCCAGGAGCUUUCCUUUUAAAGUGGUACAGUAGUUACCACAAAUAUUUUAAAUUUUCAGACGUACAAUGAAAGUUGCAAAUACUUAGUAACUGUGGAUAAUUUUUUGUUUGUUUUUUAAUUAGUGACUGUUCUUUUAUUUCCUCCCUUCUCUUUUAUAGGAAGGAAAGAAGUAAAGGAGGGAGGUGGGCCAGGAGGGGAAGACAAAGAUCCUACUAGGUGUCAAUCACUACACUAAUCACUUGACAUAUUUCACUUGAACCUCACAACAAUCCUGUUAGUUAUUCUUCCAAGUGACCCUGAUUCACCAUAUGCUAGGAUGGUGAUGUCAGAUCACAAAACUUCAACUGGCAUAGGCAGCUGGCUAAAAGAAAUAAGCUUACAUGCAGCUUUUUCCCAAACUGGGAGAACUGUUUAAUAGAGAUGAACUGAAGCUGAUCAUCUACCUUCACAAAUAGUAAGCAACAAAAUCAACAUGGAAGAAGCCCUACAUUUCUACAGGUUUUGACCUUACUUAGAGGAGAACUGAUUCUGGAGAACAACUUAACUUCUGUGAUUGAAAAUCCCUAUAUUCUACCUGAAAAGAGAUAAGAAAAUUAAGGUUCUAACAAGUUAAGAUAGGCUGUACUGGUAUUAUGUGAUAACAAUUUGUUAGCUUCAUUUGAAGAAGCAUUCUUGACACGUAAGUAUUCUGUGAUCCUCUCAGUCCUUUAUCUUUUUAAAAUGAUGUUUAUUAUAUUUCAACUUCUGAUUUGUGAAAUAUACUCUUAAGAACCUGGGUCUUAGACUAUCAGCCUUCCUUUUUCUCUCUGACAUUUUAAAAAUUAGGUGAUAAAUACUCACUAUUUUUAAAAAAAGGGGGGGGGGAGGAGGAACCAAAUCAGUACUUGGUAAGUGUUAUUGAUUUUGAAGGAUAUUUCUUCUUUUAAAAUUAUUUAACAUACUUUUGACUUCUUUCCCCCUUUUCCUCAAAUACAGAAAUGGUAGUGAUUUUAAAGGAAAAUUUGGUUUUGUAGCUUUGUUUUAUUCCAUUUUAUUGAAAUAUUUAGUAACAUAAAUUUGAUAGUUGUCUUAAUGCUUCCUUCAUUUUUUAAAAGAGUGGCAUAGCCACUAUUAUAUGCAUGUCAGUGGAGACUAGAUUUCUUGGUAAGCACCAAGAGGUGGAAAAACAGGAAGAAUCUGUCCCUUUUCCUUCCCCAUAUAUGCACACAUCCUCCUACAGGAUAAGAAACAGACAUCUCUUCCAGUUCCCUUGGUUUUAAGAAACUUGUAAAUUAUGCUAGAAUCAUUCCAGAUAAAAGUUUGUUAAAUAUCAAUGCUACCCCAUAUAGAAUAGAUUUUUGCUAACUACUUUUCAAAUUGAUCUCAAAAUUAUCUCAUUUUCACAUAACCUUUGAUGGAGUGGAUUGUAAACCUUUAAAGAAAACCCAAAUUGUCAAAUUAUUCUUUUUUUAAUGAUGUUGCACUGUGAGAGGUAGGGUGAGUGGAUGGUGGUGUUGUUUGUUUUGUAUUGUUUUAAGAAAACUUAAUGCUUCAGAUAUUUGUCCAUUACCUAGGUACAUUUUCUCAACAUACUCUUGUUUUGAUGACUAGUAUACUAAGUAAUAUUAAAUGACUAUUCUACCCGUAAAAGGUCGAGCCCUUGACCAAAGCAUAUUAAAUUCAGCAUUUGGUAUAGUAGAAAGAGUUUUAAGCGUUUACCUUAAUUUUUUUUUCAGACUGAUAGCUGGAAACCCCAAGUCAUCUUAAUUUUCUUUUUUUUUUUUUUUUUUCCUCCUUUAUUCCAUUUUAUUGAAAUAUUUAGUAACCUAAAUAGCACAUGUAUAAUCCACACUUGGGUUUCUUAAUUAGUUCCUGGAAGCCAGCUUAACUUUCAUUCUUCAAUCUUGUGGUCAAAAAAAGGAUCUUUUUGGUAGCAAUUGUAGAUUCCCAUGAGUGGAAGGUUAUCCAUUUUCAUGUAGACUUGAGUAUAUCUGUUCAUAUCAGACUCUUGUAUGAGAAAGGUUACUGUAUUCUUAAACUCUUUCUAACUAUUUGAUAUAUUUCUAGGCAAACUUUCUGGAUGUUCUCUGACUUUUUUUUUUUUUUUUUUUAAACAAAGGAUGUUUGUCAAUUUUUGGAUUGCAGUGCUUUACUGGAGUCCCCUUAUUGAUAGUGUGCACUAAACCCUAGAUAAUGGUUUAGGAUACAUCUGAUUGUAAAAGCCAUAAAAGUACUCAAGUUAAUUGGAACAUAAAAUUACUGUCUUUGAUCCUGUGUAUUUUUUAAUCUAUUCCUUAUUCCUUUUUAAUUUCUUAUAUCUCUUGGUAAUAUUUAGAAAUCAUAGAAUUCUACAUCAAAUAGGGUCCAUGAAAUAUCCUUGGCUAAAAUAAGGUAAAAAGACAGUUUCUCUGAUAAGGAUGAUUACCUUAGGACCAGUGAAAUGUUUUUUUUUAAUUGUGAUAACAUAGAGGGAAAGGAUUAGAUUUUAGAAGACCUAGACUUUUACACUUGUAGCUUUGUAAAUCUGGGCAAGGACUUUGUAACCCUGGACUCUAUUGUGACCCAAGUUUCUUUAUUUGCAAAAUGUAUACUAUUUAUACUAACAAAUUUGUGUGAUUGUUAGGAAAGUAACUUCUUAAGCCGCAAAGUACCAUAAUGAGUUACUAUUAAUCUUUCAUGACUAUGAAUAUAGAUAACAAUAUUUUAUAUAUUAAAAAUAUCUUUAGGUGAAGAGAUCUAUGACAAACAAGAAAGGUUAAAGAUUUAUUCUAAGUGCAAUUGUUAAAAGAUGUAAAGUAAAGCUGAAUUUAGUGGAUAGGGGGAAAAAAGAGAAGGAAAAAAAAGAACAAAAGUCAGGAAAGUCUUUAGGGUGGGGAAAAACAUCAAAACCUUUUUUAAGUCAAAGGGAAAGGGAUGAGAGUGGGGCUGUUGCCAAAAGUAUUUCUAAUGGAGAGGGUAAGUUACAGCAAGCAGGGUGUUUUUUGGUUUUUGUUGUUGUUUUUGUUUUUAAUUAACAUUGUCAAGAUGACAUGGUAGGAUAUAAAAUGAGGUGGAGUCUUUUUAGCCUUGUACGAUUUGUGAAUACUAAUUUUAAGUCAAUAGUAUUUUUUAUAUCUGAUUAACAUUUGUCUUGUUGAAUCCAUGGGGUAAAUGUUGAUACAAAGUUUUCCAAAGAUUAAUUGCACUGUGAUUUAGAGUGAAAGUCAUUUUGCAAAGUGGAAUGUAUCAUUGGUUUUGAAAUAAUAUUUGUACUUAAAAUGAGCCUGCAUAAUUUUUGUUAUUAUUUUAAAAUUAUAUGAUAUAUUUCCAAAAAAUUAUUCUAUCAAAACAAUUGGAAAAUGAAAUUUUAAAUUAGCAAAAAAAACUUUUUAAAGGCUGCAUUUUAGUUUUUAGAACUACUCGUUUGAAUUAAUGUAUUUGUGAUUGAAUGUGAUUUAGUUUUUACUCUGUAAUUCACUGAGGAAUAUUUUGGACUAAAGAUAUUCAUGCUCUUGAGUUUGUACAUGGAUGGUGGGAAAUUUUUUUCUAAUGGAAAUUAUUAGAUUUGUAAUUCCAACUAUUUCAAAGAAAUCUUCCACAAAGUAAAGUAUUAAAUUAAUAUAAGAAAAUUUGUUAAAUUUUAAGUGAUGAAAAAAAGUUUUAUUUUGCUACUCAUCUUUUAUGAUUAUAAUCAGAUUUUGAUUAUUAUAAGAGAGGAUUAUUUAGGCCCCUCACUGCUUCUUUCCCUCAUGCUGUCAGCUUUUGAAUCACUUAAUUAUUCAUUAGCUUUUCUAUCUGAGGAAUUCAAUGGAAAGUAGGGGAAGCAAAACCCAGAUUAGUCAAUUUGGCAACUGUCAAGACUUUGAAAGAAAAGUAUGAAACUGCCCUCUAAAAUAAUCUUUUGGGUUAUAUUUAUGUGUAUUGUAUUUAUCUAUUUUUCCUCGGUACUGAUAAUGCAGUUAACUGAAAAUUUUUUUAAACUUGUGGUUAAACUUUUGAGGUCUUAUAUUUAAUUGUUCAUUUCAACAUUGUGCAACCAAAACUGAUCAAAUAUUACCAAAUUUCUAGGUUGUUCAAUAAUCAAUAUAAAUGUAUAUUUAAAUUUUACAUCAAAUUUCACAUAACCUUUAUUUGCAUUAAAUGCCAGGGUCAACAGUAUUAAUGAUUACCCUGCAGCAGAUAAAUGGUUCAGUGGAUAGAGCACCAGCCCUGAAGUCAGAAGAGCCUGAGUUCAAAUGUGACCUCAGACACUUUAACACUUGCUAGCUAUGUGAUCCUGGGCAAGUCACUUAACCCCAAUUGACUCAGCAAAAAAAAUAAAUAAAAAAUAAAUUCUAAAAAUAAUAAUAAAUAAUAGUCUUGUCCCUUUUAUUAUAGUCCUUUGCCAAAGGGCUUUAAAAAUACAUUUAUUCUUUAAUUUUCUUCCAGAUCUUAAUUGCAUACCAAGUCUUACCACUAAACAACUAGGGGGGAGAAGAAUAUAAUAUUUAACAAAUACAGUAUUUAACAGUUUUUUCAGACAACCUGAAAUUUGAUAACUUUUACUUUAUCAUGAGGUGUGAUAUGGAAUCUAAUGUAUAUGGAGAAAAUCCUACUCUGGGAUUUUUUUUUCCAAUGUGAUUCAGUGGGUUUUUUCCAAAGUUAUGUCCUUGUAGGCUGCAAGAUACAUAUGAACUCUAAUAAUAACUUCUGCAAUCAUUUCUUAAGCACAGCAGAGUAUAAUAGAGAAGACAAACUUCAGUUGGUAUUGUUUGUUUAAUUAGUUUCACAUUUAUACUGUGAGUAUAGGCCUUUAAGAGUCUGGCAUUCAAAUAUAUAAAUUAUAUAUGUGCCUAUAUAUAUUUAUAUAUAUAUGAAUAUAUUCAAAUAUAUUAUAAAAGAAGCUUUAAUGUUGGUAAAAACAAAUAAAUGACUAAGCAGACAAUUUUAUAGCAAUUGGAGUUGAUUAGAUUGUUGAAAACUUUUAAGAUUUUGUAACAUUCCUUGAAUUUUGGAUAUUUUACUGAAGCAGUUUAGCAGGUUAAAUCACAAAGAUCAAAAAAUUAUACCUUGAAAUCGUUGUAGAAAAAAAUUUUUUUAAACCACGUUAUUUGCAUGCUUACACUGGAUCCCUAAAAAAUUUCAAAAUCAAAUUGAAGAAUUGGAUGGUGACCUCCAAGUCAGCUAGGCAAUUUAUUGUGCUCUGUAGAGUGACUUUGGGAAAGGUAAUGUUUCAAAGCUGCUAGGUCUGGGGAAAUUUUUUAUAGACAAGAACAAGAUUUAUCCAAAGUUCUCAAAAUCUUCAUAGUUUCUAAACUUAGCAUUUCUCAGAAUUUUGGUCAGAUUGUAAAUUUAAGGAGAAAAUAAGCAGAAUUUUUAGAAAGUGUUUACUACAUUUUUAAUGAAAUGAUGAGAUGUUUGAAAGGCAUCACACAGAAUUGCUAACAUAUCUAAACUUUAUUGCAUGUCAAAAGAUAAAGCAGUAGUAUAGAUAGAAUAAUAAGGUAGAUUUUACUCUGUAUUUGUUAAGACUUAAAAUUUAUUUAUAUCUUUUUGGUACUGAAAUCACUUGUCCAGUGUUUCCUUAAAUCAUUAAUUAACAACUGGUAUGAAUGAUUGGAUUUCAUAAAGUAGGUGAUAGAAAUCUACCCCAAAAAAAAAAUUUCAUGGAGUGUCUUCAUCAAAGAACUGCUUCAGCUGAUUAUAAACCAGACUUUAUUAGGAAGAAAAAUACAUCUACGAUUAUACGGAGUUUUAAAUUCAGGUAUAAAAAUACCUCUUUUAAAAAUGCUUUUUAUACAGCAUAAUUUACAUCAAUCUAAACAUAUAUUUGAAAACAUGAUGCUUUUUUCUUUUUUGCCUUUCUUUGCUUUAAAAGAUAGAAGGUGAAGUGUAAUUUAUGACUAUGAGUAUAUUUUAUAAAUGCAAAUUAAAUACUUUUUUGCAAAAUCAGAUUUUUUUUUUAGGUUAUUGAUAAACAGAUUGACUUAAAUUUUAUGUGGCAAGAUACUUAAAUAUUAAAAGAAAAGAUGUAGUAGAAUAAAUAAUAUGAGGGAAAUAUGGAUUUCUCAGGAUGGGGGGACUGUGUGUGGUGAUUUUGUUUGUAUUCUCAAUAAAAUAGAAAUUCAAAAAACCCACUUUCAUAUACAAAGGAAUAUUUGAUGACUUAAUAACAUUUAUUAUGAAUUAUAAUUGGGUACACAAGUGAAGCAGAGGGAACAAAAGAAUUUGUGAAGCCUUUUGAAAUCAUCAUGUUAAUUAAGCACCUAUUAUAUAUGUAAUACAUAUUUAGCAGUGACAGUGGUGAAUUUUGUUUACUAUGUUUGAUGAGAUUGAUAACCCUGACCUCAUUUUCUGCUUAUAACAGAGUCCUAUAAGAUAGCUAGGGCAGCUUUUCCAAAAUUUGAUAAAAGGGACUUAAAGAAGUUGUCAGGGGUAAGAGCAUAUUUUUAUUUUUUGAAAAUGUAAUUUCAUUUCUGAUCAAGUCAGCUCUUUUGGAACUCACUAAAUAAUGAAGGUAAAGGCAUUAAGUUGAUUUGCCCAGGAUUGAGCAGUUGCUGUUUAGUUGUUAAAAGGCAAUGUGCCCUCUAUAACUGUAUUUUUUUCCUAAGAGACCAUAGACUUGAGAUUUUUCUGCCUUCCAAUUCAAAAACUUGAAGUUAUAAAGUAUUAGUGAUAAUGUAGUCAGAUUUUGAGACAAAAUGUGUUUUGUUUUUCUUUUUCUUUUUUCUUUUUUUUUUUUUUUUUUUUUUUUUUUUUGAGCAAUAUAAGAUUUAGUUAUUUUAACUUUCCUGAGUAAGCCCAUGGCCUUUAUCACUGAUUGAAUAUAUGUUCAAAUUACCUCACUUUAAAUUCUCCCUCAAUUGGCUCUUUAAAUCUUUUUUUAAUAUUUUUAAAUAUCAUUUUUUAAGAUGACUUGCUAUUAUAGAGUAUUACAGUUAUAAUCAGGAAGACCCAAAUUCAGAUCCUGAACUGAUCAGUUAAAACUCAGUGCUUUCAUAAUCAGUUUUCUUAUCUUCAAAAUUGGUGAAAUAGCACUUGUAUAGCAGAAUUGUUGUGAGACUCAAAUGAGAUAACAUAUAUAGCAAAGUGUCAUAUAAAUACUAUCUCUUAUCAGUGAGCACUAAUAUUGAAAAUCAGGUAAUGAGGGAAUGGGGAGGACGUUUACUAAAAUUAAUGUAUUGAAGAAAUCUCUGCAGUAUUUCACAUCUGUAACACAUUCUCUCCUUUCCUACUCUCUUGGGGAGAUCCUUUUCACAGCAUCCAGUUUUAAUUAAUUUGUAAUAUUUUAUUUUCCUACUUGUUUGAUCACUUUGUAUCAAUUACAUGAUCUUUUAAUAAAUAUAUGACUAAAAUAACAAGAUUACUUUUGGAGGACUAUUUGUUAACUUCUGUCUAAGGUAAAAAUAAAAUUAUGUUCAUUAUUUUUUUGUUUCAGGUUAAUUUCAGUUUAUUUUCAAGACAGCAUUGAUUUUUUUUUUCCCCAAAAAAACGUUAAGAAAAGGCCUAGCUUAUUCUUGCGUUGCUAUAUAUACUAUGUAAAAGUAACUAUAAACUAUUUUUUAAAAUAAAAAUUGGUUAAUGUCUAAUUCUUUUUCUAAAAACUGUUAUUUUACAUUCUUCUUUAGGAGCUAGUGUGUAGACACCUUGGGGUAAAGUAGCAGCACAUAAUGGUUUGUUGGUUUUGAAAAGGUGCAGGCCAUAUUGUGCUGCCUCAAAAAUACAAGGAUCUGAUCUUCUGAAGAAACUAUUAUUGCUUGAUAGCCAAAGCUACAUUGUGUGAUAUCAAUGUCAACAGUGCCUUAGCAGCACGUAAAUAUUGGCGUUAAGAUUUUAAAAGUAUCUCCAGUAUUAACUGUGCUGCUGAAGUAAGGUUGGCCCCUCUCUGCAAAAAAAAAAAGGGGGGGGGGUUGUUUGUUUGUUUUGUUAUGUUUUGUUUUUUUACUUUAAGAUACUAAAGCAUUUUGUAAAAACAUUUGGAGAAUUCGUGUUUGUAUAUAUUUCAAUAUUAUUUAACUUUAUUUUUAAAAAUAGCUGUGUUAAAUUUCUUAGUGAUUUUCUGUUUUGUAAAGUAAUAAACUGAAGGCAUUUAAUCUAUCAAUAUUUAUCCACCAUUUCAGAAGUUAGAAAAACAACUAAUUUUUUUUUUUUUUUUUAAUUUUAAAUAGUUCUCCAGUAUAAACGGUAGGCAUGGAAAGAUGAGCAUUUGGACUUUUAAAAUGAUGUGAAAUUGCUAGCCAUAAAAUGUUUAGGGGAUUUCUCCACGCCCCCCAUAAAAGUCUUGGGUAGUUUAUGCAUUAAAUCUUAACAAAUUUUUUUUUUUUUUAAUGUAAGCAUUUGCUCCUUAGAGAGAGUGAAUUUUAAGAUAACAGUAUCCAUUUUAAAAUUACUACUUUUAUAUGCAGUGAUGAUUAGAAAAAGUAUCUCCUUUAGUUUCUCUUCUUGUCUAGACCUACUAGUUAUCAAAUGAUUGAAUUAAAAUGGAUGAUAAUGAGUUUCUCUGUGUGUAUAUUUUGAGUAAAGUAAAACAGUUCUUGACUCAUUAAAAGUAUAAAGAGAAAGCAUAACAAAUCAUUUCUAGUAAUUAAAAUUAUUCAUUUGGGGAACUUAGGAUUCUAAGUUCUACUUUAAAUGUAUGUUAAAUAAUUAAUAUUAAAGUUGAGAAACUAAAGAGAAGACUAUUCAAAGUAAUCAUAUAUGGGUAAUUGGGCCUUUAAAAAACUUUCUCUAAGGAAAUCUUAUCUGCAACAGUUGCAUAACAAGUCUUAUAAAGAAAUGAAAUGCUGACUGAACUUUCUGUGAUCCAGGUAAUGUUCAGAAGAUGGUCCUUAUUUUGAAAUAACUCAUCAAGAGGAGGAGAUAAUCUAAUUUUCUUUGAUAUUUUCUAGCAGUUGCCAUAUAAUUUUUAAUGCUAAUUAUAUAUUCAGUUCAAUAUUUAUAGUAGUCUUCUAAAUAUACAAUUUAUUUUCAAAUUGUAUUAUUCUAAACUUUAUGUAACAUUAUAGUCAAUUCAAUUGAUAGUUUGUUUCCUGAGUAUUUAAUGGGUUUGGGGAAUUUGGGGAGGAGGGGAUGUUUGUUUUCCAAUUUGUAUUGGGGGGAUUGUGUUUAUUGUGGGGCAUGGUUUUUUGUUUUGUUUUUUAACAUAUCAGAUUAUUUCGAAUUAGUAUUAAUAAUUUGUUUUUUAAAUAUUGAUGCACUUUUAUCUCUCUGAAGAAAUCUCAUAUUUAAUAUUCGAGCUUCAAAUGUAAAUGAAGAUCAAUUUAUGUUGCUACUUAUAGCUAAAUCAUAGCUUCUCGUUUUAAAGAUUACUAUAAAUUCUCUCAAUUGAGAGAGAGAGAAGAUAAAACUUGGGGAAAAUAAACCAUGAAGUUUAUGGAGAGUAAGAAUCAAAAACUUGAAUUUGCAGCCAUCUCUUUUAGAAGCUUCUAAAGAUAGCAUAUAGUAAGUAUAUAUUCUUGAAUAUAGACUAAUAGUAGCUUGGCAGAAUAAGAAUGGAAACGUAUCUCAUUUCGUAGUCAUCUUUCUGUGUGAAAUCUUUUUGGAACUUAAUUCAAUUGCUUGCAAAAUUUCACUUAGAAAGGUAGUAUGGAGGCUUAUUAGUGUAAAUUCAACAUUUUUGUUUCUUCCUUAGAUAAAAUCCUAAUGUCUUUCAGGUUUUUUUAAGUUGUUGCUGAAUAAUUGCAAUUGUUGACAAUCUCUCCUACUUGGAGUAUGGAACUUAACCAAAACAAUUCAGGUGGAUAUUAUCGUCCUGAUGGGAAAAAAAGCCUUGUCUCGCGUGUUUCAGUAUCUCAUUGAUUUAAAGAAAGUAAAAAUUAGUGUCUCACUGUUUUGAGAGAGCUUUGGCUCUUUGAAACAUUUAGGUAGAUUAAUGUACUUAUUGGAAAUGAAGUAAAGGUUAUGUUGAGUUAGUCUUAUCUACUAUUUUUAUAGAGGCUCCUUAUAUUAUUUAUGCUUAUUAAGAGGAGUUCUGAUUAGAUAAGCAUAUAUUCAAUUAGUUCUUAUUGUCCUGUUAAAAAAAUGACAUAAUAGCCCAUGACGUUUGCUUUUUUUUUUUUUAAUACUAUGUUUUUAUUUUGUUUAAUCCAAGGCAUCAGCAAAAUAAGUUAUCCUUAUUGACUUUUGCUUAUUUAUUUGUAAUUCUACUGAAAAAAUAAUUAUGAAAUUAAAUUGAAAACUUUGUAAUUCAUUCAAAAAUUAUCUUAUGUAUCAAAGAAACUUAGUUUGAAAUGACUAAUAGAUCUUUAGGUUAAUGUAUUGAAUGAAAUGAAUAAAAAAGGCAACAGGUAUUACUCAUUGUAAAUAAUCUUGGCUGCAUAGUCUAAAUAAUUUCUUCAAUUUUUGGUGAGGCAGUUGGGGUUGUGACCUUCACAGGGUCACACAGCGAGGAAGGGUUUGAGGUUGGAUGUGAUCUCAGAUCCUCCUGCUCCAGGGCUGGUAUUCUGUCCAUUGCAUCAUCUAUCUGGCCCCUUAAUUUGUAAUUAAUAUAGCUAGACUACUACCUAGUACUAUAAUAACCCAUCCUUUGACAGAGAAAAUAGUGGACACGAAUAGGGGAAUUUUCAGUGUAUUAAGAUUUAUUAUGAAUUUGUACUUUUUAAAAUGUUAUUGUAUCAGAAUCAAAAUUAUACUCAACUAUUUUCAUCUUCCAACUUAUAAGAUAACAAGGGACAAACAAAUGACUUUACAUAGACUACCAAAAAAUUAAUUUUAGAUUGUAUAAAAAUGUUUGUUUUAGUAUCUAAGACAAUGGGAUAAAGAAUUUACUGAAAUAAUCCACAAAUUUUGUUCUCUUACAACAGAAUUUUAUAUUUAUUUAGAAACCAUAUAUGCCCUUUUUUAUUUAGUCUUUUUUUUUUUUUUUUUUUUUGCUGCUGUUAUUUAAUUCUGUAGUUGUUUGCUUAUUUUUAAAAACUUAGUUGUUUCCAUUUGGGAAGCUAAACACUCAAAUUUUGUAGAUUGGAAAUGGCUAAAGCAUAUCAAUCAUUUUAAAAUUAGAAAAUUUUGUUAUUCGUUGAGUUUAGUCAUGCCCAACUUUUCAUGACUCAUUUUGGGUUUUCUUAUUAAAGAUAUUGCCAUUUCCUUCUCCAGCUCAUUUUACAGAUAAGGAACGGUAGCAAGCAGGAUAAAGUGACUUAGAAUCACAGUCAGUAAAUAACCCAGCAUGCUAUUCAGAAUAGUUUUAAUUGCCUCCUUAAAUUGUAGUCUAGAUUCAGUCAUACCUGAGCACUUUGUAAUUUUAUGAAUUCACUUGCAAAAGUAUGGUGCUGGUUUCAAGAGAGAAAUUUUCUUUUAGAAUAAGAUAUGUUAUUUAGAAACAUUGUUGUCAUUUGUUACUCAAAUUUUUUCAUUUUCUUUGAAUACUUUUCUCUGACAUUUUUUACUAGUAAAGAUAAUUUUGUAUAGAAUUAGAUUUGUUUUAAUGUAUCUUGUAGAAUAUACUUCUAGAUGACUCUUAAUUCAUGAUUCUUUGAACUAAAGAAGAACUCAACUUUUUCAUGUCUAGGCUCAUCUCUGAAUGUAUUUUUUAAAGUAUUAAAAUAUAUUUUUUAUCUGUAUUACUAUUCUGGCAUUUCUAUUCUUGUCAGUUUUUUUAAAAAAUUAAACACUUAACAUAUUUAUUAACAAAAUCAUUUCAUAAACUACAGUCUUAACUGUCAAUUCUCCUGGAUGUAAAAAAUUAAAGUAAUAUGUAAAUUAUUUUGCAUCUGGCAUUAACUUCAAAUUACUGGACUAUUUUUUGUCUCAUACUUGGCCAUAAAUUUUCUUACUAUAGAUAAGUUUGUUGUCUAAUUUGUUGUUGUGAAAUUUAAUGUUUCAGCCACAUUAAUAUAUGAUGGGUAGGGUGCGGGAGGAAGAUGGGAAUAGAUCCAGAAGCUUUUGUACUGAAAGUUUUUGUACAGAAGUUUUCAUAUUGAAAACUGUUUCUAACUCAUGUAUUUUUUUUUUAUUUAAUAGCCUUUUAUUUACAGGAUAUAUGCAUGGGUAACUUUACAGCAUUAACAAUUGCCAAACCUCUUGUUCCAAUUUUUCUAACUCAUGUAUUUUUAAAAACUGUGUUUGAACAGGAUUAUGUAUGUUGUUGCACAAAUUUUCUUCUGCCUUUGUAAUAUAUUAUACAUUUUUCCUUUGCUAUUUUUGAUAAAUUAAAGGCAGUAAGACCACAUGGGAAAUUCCUCAUGUCAAUUUGAAUUUGGCAUGGGGAAUUGGACUUUUUUUAGAUAUCUCUUAACUGGAUUAUGGAUUUUUAAAAAUGUUUUCACAGUGAAAACUUAGUUUUCCAACCUUGAUGGAGUCACAUUUCCACUGAUGGUGAAACAUCAUAACCUAUCAAUCACUUUGAAGAUUUCCCUAAAAUAUAUUAGGUUUUAUUAAGAAAUAUCCUUACUAUUAAAAGUGUGCAUAAAAGAAAAAAAUCUUGUUUUCAAGAACAUAACUUCCAACUGAUAUGUCUAUAAUAUAUACAUGUGUGGUUACUAUACAACAUUAAAAACAUGGAAUCUCUUUCAGUGGAAACUAACCUUAUAAUUGGCUAGUUUAAUUUUUCUCAGGAAAAGUUUAGUGCUUUGACACUAACCCAUUUUUGGAAUCCUGUCAUUUUAUGGGUGUUAGGAGUUCCAUUUACAAAUACUAUAAAUUUAGAAAAUUAUUUAGGAUUAUUCAAAAUCAAGAAGAAACAAAAAUAAGUAUGAGAAGGUAUUUAGCAAAUAGUAACUCUGCAAGAACUUGGAACUCUCUAGACUUAAUGCAGUCUUUUUGGGGCAUUGCUGCUCAGUUAACCCCCUAACUGUUCCCUCAUGUAUACCCUACUGUUGCCACCUGGCACAAACUUAAUAGAACUAAAAUCAAACUAGCCCAGAACUAAUUGUAUACAGUGAAUAGUGUUUUAUGCCAUUCAAAAGCAGAUCAACAACUCAUGCAUAAUAUGAACAUUGUGGGAAAUUGUACCCAUACUCAAAAUAUCUCCUUCCUGACAUUGUUGAUGAUGAUUCUGUUGCAUGAUCUCUAUCUACUAUGACAAGGCUAUUUGUACUCAGAACAGUGUAUGUGCACUGGGGACAGAAGACUGGAUUUUGAGUCAGAAAAACUAUAUGAGAACUCUGGCUCAUAUUUACUCUGCCUUUAUGAUUUGGAGCAAGUUAUAAAUCGGACCUAAAAUGGGAAUUUUCGUUCAAUGACAUCUGAGAGGGCUUUCUACUCAAACUUCUAUGCCCUAUGGCUAUUAACAAAAUUCAUUUAAUACCUACUGAAUGAAACAACCCCUACUUUCAAAGAGCUGAAGCAAAUACUUUUUGUUAUAUUUAACCUAUUUCUAUGAUGUAUUCCUUUUUAGAUUUUGAGCUCCUUAACAGUAGGGGGAAAUGUCUUAUAUACACAUUUGUUUUCUUGCCAUUUAGUAUAGUACUUUACACAUAAUAAAUGCUUAAAUAUUAAUUGAAUAAAAUAAGUUCUUCCCUUUUAUACUGAUCAUGUAGUCUACAUUAUAGUGAAACUAAAGUAGUGUUCCCUUAAUGUGAGAUUUCCUUAUGUUUUAGGGAGAACUUUUAAAUUAAUAUUAAAAAAUAUAAGAAAAAAAUUUCCUUUUGUUUAUAUUAGCCAAAAAAUAAAGUGGGCUGCUUUUGGAGACAGUGAAUUUAUAGGUUCAUCUAUACAGUGAUUUGCUCAUGGGCACACAGGGAGUACAGCUCAAAAUUGAAUCCAGAUCUCUUUUCACAGUGUUGUCAUGCUGAUAUCCAUAAACCAUUUUGGCACAAGACAACUCACUGGAGAGACUAAAAGAAUCUAGUUUUGAUUUUGAGAAAUAAGAUUUAACCUAUCAUAAUAGCAACUAAUGAAUGAUAGAAACGUACAGCAGGAAUGAGGAAAGCCUAUAGGGGAUCACUGAUAGUCAUGAAGGAACUAGUCUAGUUAUAUAACAACUCUUUUUGUAAAUUGGAAAUAAAUCAAGAGAGCAAGUGGAACAUCCAUUUCGCUAACUUGUAAGAUCUUUCAGUGUGAUUUCAGUCAAACUUUCCAUCAGUGUAGUUAAAUUGUUUUACUACCCAUGUAGUGUCCAUCUUGAUUUUUUAUUUUGUGUAGGCUGCACCCUCUGCCCAAAAUACAUUGUUUUCAGUUUCUGCCUCUUAAAAAUUUUAACUUCCUUCCAAAUGUAAACUGAAGUGUUACUAUCUACAAGAAAGUUUCCCUGAUACUCUUUAAUUUUUUUUUUACAUUAAAUAAAUCAGUUUAAUUCAUUCUGCCUAUUAGAAUAUAAGUUCUUUGAAGGUGACGACUUUUCUUUUUCUAUUUAUAUUCCUAGGACUUUGCUAUUAAUGUUUAUUGAAUUAUAUUUUCUGUCUUGUAUUUUAAUUUUAUUCCUUGGUAAAUUUUGGCUAACAGCCCAAGUAACUACAUAAUUAAAUGAUUGUUACAGGCUGUGAAUGCCCAAGGUAUAAAAAAUAUGAUAGAAGUUACAAUGAUUAUAUUGUUGAUCAGGACCCAGGGUAGUAUGCUAUAGCAACUAAUGAAUGAAUUUUAAGAAAGGUACAUAGUAAUUUCAAAGACUUCUUAAAAGAAUAAAGAACAUAAACUAAUUGCAGUAAAAGUUUAGAAUGAAUUAACACAUAUUAAAUACUUGCUGUUAAAGAACUUUAUUAUGAAAUAGUUCUAUAGCUUGCAUAAGCUGCAUUGACUCAAUUGGAAUUAAGAAAAAGGAUAGCUACUUUAGGGAUAAUCAGGAUAUGUGUAUCCUGGGGUCCUAGAGAAUUAGAAAGUGUGAGAGGAUUUAAAAAUGGAGACCAGAAUGACAAAGGUGGUCACCUAUUUUAGCUUUUCUUCUCUUUCUUUUCUAUGUCCCUCUUCUAGGACCUUGAAUUCAGACUAGUUAUUCAGAUAUAUUUUAAGUAGAAUGAUUUGUAAGGCUAUUUUUAAAAAGCUACCAUUUUAUAACAUUUUCUGUUGCUAGAUGUUUCUCCAAUGUUGAUUUAUACAAAGACAUUUUUGGAAAAAUAGCUGUUAGAGAUUGGGUGCUACACGCAUCCAGAAAUUAAGCUAGAAAGCAAUUUCAUAUUAAACUAAAAUUUUGAAUUCUAAUUUUUAUUACUUUAUUGCUUAGGUGAGUCCUGACACUGAGAGGCAGGGAUAGCAUUUUAAACCUAAAAAGAAAUUAGUUAACCUAACCAAAUCCUAAACAGUGGUGAAAAAAUCAACAUAUAUCUUGUUAGGUUUUCACAAAACCACUGUGUACUUUUCUAAUAUAUAACAAUCUUGUAAAAUCUUAGAAUUUGUGAUCUAGAAGAUUUGAAACUAAUGUUUCAUUUCAUACAUGAAGAAAAGGAGGCAUACAAAGAUUAAAUGAUUUGUUCAAUACACAUUGCUCACAUGAACUGUUAACUAUAUUCUUAGCACAAAAUUAGAUAUGCCAUUUUCUGAUUAUCUUUUUUUUUCAGAUCCCCUGAAGAAUGGAAAAAUGGGCUGGAGAAUGAUUAUUAAGAGAAGGUUGUAUGACUGGUUAUUCAAAGAAAGAAAAGGACUUUACCGUUCUGAAUACAUGCCACCACUAUUCAUGGGUGGGAAAGACUUGGUAGGAGUUUUUUAUCCAGGUACUUCUAGUUGAGUAACAGCAUGCACGUUUUUCAUGUUACUUUAAAAAAAAAACAAAAACACAUUUGAAUGAUAAGAAAAUAAUCAUUGUUAGUACAAAUAAACUAUUACAAGCAUUUGAUUUCAUUUACAAUAAAUGACUACUUCAAAAGUUGUAUUUUUUAAAAAGCUCUUCUGCCAAUUAAGUGGCUUACACAUUGGUUAAAUUUGCCCAAUGCACAAUUAGAGACUAAAACAUUUGGGAGAGGUAGCAUGGAUCUGGAGUCAGAAGUCAAGAGUUUUAAAUCUCUUCUAGUAUUUAACUGUCCUGGGACAAGCCAUAUAAACUAUAAAAUCCCAGUUUCUGUAACACAGAAGUUCUACGAAAAUUACUUCAUGCGAGAAUCAACAUGUAUAGCAUCUCUACCAAGUGACAGCAUUAAUUUAAAUAUGUCCAGGAAUGGGAAGAUAAUUAUAAUUCAAAGCAAUUUAUUGAGACAUUUUUUGUUGUUAGGAAGUUCUUACAUUGACCAGAAAUAAAACUUGUUUCCUUGUAAUUUCAUGCUUUUAUAAUACUCAUUACUUAUUUUUACAUUGAAUGAAACUAACUUGCUUUACAGAAAAGAAUUUUCGAAAGCAGCUAAAUGGUCCGAUGAAUAGUGUUAGAUUUAGAGUCCCCAAAAACUUGAGCUCAAAUUUGGCUUCAAUAUUUACUGGUUGUGUUACACCAAGCAAUCACUUAACCUGUUUGCUUUGGUUUCCUCAUCUAUAAAGUGGGGGUAAUAAUAGCAUCUAUCGCCAAAAGUAGUUGUAAGGAUCAAAUGGAAUAAUUGUAAAGUCACUAGCACAUGUUACUUGUUAUAAUACAUCUUCCAUAUCAUUUUUUCCUAUACAGUUCUUUUCCCCUUAUCUUUUAUUACUAGUUACUUUUUACCUUGUUUUGAAUUUUAAUAAAUGAGGAAGAAAGUAGAGCCAGGAGAGGUGAAAUGACUUGGCCAGAGACUGACUAUAGCUUCAGAAUGAGAUUCUCUGACUCCAAAUCCAGUGUCUUUUUCUGCUUCUUAUUCCUGGAUGUAUUUCAGUUUGUCAGUGUCUGCUUAAAAUGUGCCAAGGGCAGGAUAUAAGCCAGUAAAUAGCUACAUAACAAUUGAAUUGAAAAUUGGAAACAAUUCUGGCUUUUAAUAUUGUACAUAGGAGAAAAUUGUCUUUUUAAUUUUAUAUUGCAGUGUGUAAUGCUUGGUCAUUAGCAUCACCAGAACAUCAGAGAUUCUCAAGAAAAAUAGGUAAUAGUCAUUUAGCUAAUUGCAGAGACAGAAUGCCUAAAGUAACAUAUUCAAUGAGUGACAGCUUAAAUUUAAACAGAGAUUCUCUAAUCCUAUAUCCAGUAUUCUUCCUACUCUUUAUCACACUGUCUUUAUUCAAUAGGCAUUUGAUUAACAAUCUAACAUUCACUUGAAUUAGAGAUAAAAUAUGGAAAGACAAAUCAGUUCUUUAUAAACUUAGGACAUUAAGCUAGAUAAUCUCAAAGUGAAGCCUUCCAGAUCUAAAGUUCUUUGAUUAUUUAAAAAGCUAACUUUGUAUAACCUUAAGGUCACAAUUGAUAGAUUUCUUUUUUUACUAACAUUUUGUGCUUUAACUGAAAUUAAGCAAAUUCAAAGGAUAUUUUGUAUCAGAAUUUUUAAUUGAUAAUUUUCUUACAUUUUCAGUAGCAUUGGUGAUAGUUUAUACAACUUAAAGAAUAAAGUCAGUUUUAUUGAAAGGAAGACAAGUUUUCAUAUCCCAAAAGAAACAUGAAAUGUGUUAUUUAUUAGCUAAUUAUAUUUUAAAUAUAUAGUACACAAUUCAAUCUGUAUGGCAGCAUUAGUUUUUUGGGGGAAUAGACUUAAUUAUAUUCUACUACUAGCUGAAUAAAGAGGUACACACUACCUUGUCAUUUGAGAAUGAAUUCCUCUGCUAUGGUAACCCAGGAAAUUAAAAAAAAAAAAAAGUCACUCAGUCCCCCUACUCUUCCUCUACCGAUAAUGGUAUUGUCUGAACAAAGAACAGAAGGCGCUAAAAAAGAAUUUUUUUUUUUUGAGAGCCUCUAUAAACUAAUGUAGCUCCUGGUAUUCUUAAGGUCAUAUCUUGGUCCAGUUACCAAUAGAUAAUCUUCCACUGACAGAAAUUAUUCAUGUCAAUCUUGAUAUUCCUACUAUAAUUUAAACCAGAAGAAGGAAGUUGAUGCUAAAUGGAAGAAUUCAGCAGGUUCUCAAUGAAGAAGGAAAUGAAGGAAUUAUUGGUAGCAUUAGUUAUAUUAUAAGGUAAGAAGAAGCAAUUCAUAGAAUAUUUAGUCCUCUGGCACUGUAGUGCUUAUGAUAAGUAUUUGUAAAAAGUCUCCCAAUGCAAUACUGGUAUGUAUACCAGUAUUCUUUUGAAGAUAAAAUAGAGAAAUAAUGGAAGUUCAUUACUGACAAGCAAAAGUGAGAAAAGAGGAUUAAGAAAGCAAUUAGUGAUUAAAAAAAAAAAAAUGAGAAUAAGUGCCACAGAUGACACAGAAGCCUCAUGCCUAUCUAAACAUCUUUGAAAAAUAAUUGAUAGAUUUUGGACAUUGCAAGCACCUAAAUAACCCCACAAAGAAAUAAAAUUGAUUAUAUUUUAGCUGAAAAAGAUGACUCACAGCUGGCAUUAUAGUGAUUCUUAAAUCAUCUGUCCAUAUGGUCAUAUCAAUGACUUGGAGAAAAAAUCAAAAUCGUUACAAAGCUAGAAAAACUAAAAUUUAAAAGUUUUAGUGAAACUCAUUUCUAUUGAAUUUCAACAAUUUAUUGAUAAGAAAAACCAAAACUUGUAUGAAUUAAUGGCAAAGGAAAGUUCAUAGAAUCAGAACAAUUUAUUCCAGAACAGCAAUAUUGUGAAGAUAAAUUUGAAAGACCAGUGUCAUAAUAAAUAUAAUAAUUUCUAAAUUGCCAUAGCAGAGAAUAAAGCCUAAAAAGCAACUUCAUCAGAAAACGUUUGAUGUAAAAGGUAGCCCACAGCACCAUUUUAGAACUUCAGGCUUGUUCUAAGAAAUCAUAUGGAAAGAUAAUGGAAGAUUAUAAACUAAAUCACCUCAUAAAGCAGAAAAGAAUGGAGAUUUAAACUAAUUGAAGCGAAAGCUUGAGUGAAAGAAGCAAUUGAACAGUUUACCCUGAUGGCAUUGUGGGACUAAACUUGGAAAGAGGAUAAUGAACAGAAGAAAAAUAGAAAUCCAAAAAGUUUUAUUAGAAGCCUUUCUUCACUAUCAAGGGCAGUAGAACUUUUUUUUUUAUAAGAAGGUGGAAAUAUCACAAAAAAUCAUAAAGGAGUAAGGAAAGGAAUAAGCAUGUAUAUAGCUCCUUAUAUGUGCCAAGCAUUGUGCUGGUGCUUUUACAAAUAUUUCACUUGUCAUAAUCUGCAAUUUUUAUGGGGGUAGGGGGAAGGGAACUAUAAGUCAGAGAGGUAUUAAGUGUCUGAAGCUUAUGUUCAAAUUUUGAUCUAUCAUAACUAUAUCUGCAUCCUACCAGAUGCAUCAGAAGUGGCAAAAAGCAACAUAAUUGGCUGACAUGCACAUUAUAUUUGCAUGCUAGAGAUAACAUUUUUAAGAAUAUUGAAAAAUCCGUGGUGUCUUUUAAGUCUUAACAUAAAUAAGGCAUUGAAGAACUGAAAGAAUGUCAUAAAUUCUUUGGGAAUGUAUGCUAAAAAUAAUUGACUGUUCUGAUGUCCAGGCUGAGAUAUCAGAAGGCAAUAGUUAAGGCACUCUACUGGUAUCCUAGUAUUUCUAGCAUAUUCGGUGAACCCUCAGCUGUAAACUUGAACAAGAGUUAGCUGUAAUAGAAUAGAUUUGGUUUGGAUUAUCUUUAUUGUUGGAGGAAGCAUACAACAUGUUAGCUGACAGCCUUCUGAAAAGAUAACUUGUAUAGUGUUUUUAUUAAAAUAUGAAAAGCUGAUUUUAGCUAGAGUCAGGUUUUUCCUAGACAGUGUUUAUUCUUGCAUAAACAUAUAUCAAAGCAUUUUACCCUUAUGAAUUUAUAUUAUGUAUAUGUAGAAAGCCAUAAGGAAUAGCAUUUUUAUUACAUCUAUUUAAAAAUAGAAAGGACAGGGAAUACCUUCUUAUAAAAAUAUUUUCAAUAUAGGGGCAGCCAAAUGACUCAGAGAUUAGAGAACUGGCCCUGAAGUUGGGUGUGUAUGGGUAUGCAUGUAUAGCUUUUUUGAGAUUAAAAACCAUUAUUCCACUGUAAUAGUAUUUACCAGAAAAGUUACAAUCUCAUCUAUAUCCACUUAGUCUUAACUGAUAAAAAAUUUUAACUUAACUGAUAAAGAAUUUCACAAUGAAAGGCUUCGAACAAAAUUUACUGAUGUCUGGCUUAUCCUAUUAUGUUUUUAGUAAAUUGCUUUUGCAUAGGAAUGUCAGAAAGCAUGAUAGAUCAAAACAUGAGGAAGCUUUAUAUGAACUUAAAAAAAGCCUUAGGUGAAAAGUCCUAAACAGUACAUAUGAAUUUCAUACUUGGUAGAGUCGAUUUCCAUGUGUUAAAUGACUGAUCUUCAGCCAUAUAUUACCAUUUUCCCUCCACGAUUAAAUGUAUUCCUUUUAGCACACAUACUGGAAAUGAAGAUUUUAACACAAAAAUUGAAUGUGAUAAAAUUACUAUUUUUCUUUAGAGUAAGAUUAGUUAACUUUUUCAAAGAGCCAUUAAAAAGUAGGUUCAGACUAACCAUAGAAACCAUCAGUUAUAUAAUAUAGAUUCUAAAACAGUUCACAGUUGUUGAAAGAUGAUCAAGUGGUGAAUUCUCUGAGCAUCUGAAGAAUGCAUAGACUUCAUUGCUCUGGAAAUGCUCUGGAAAAUGUUAUCCAUUAUAGCAACCUGAAUGAGUAAACUAUUAAAAACGGGAUUAGACUAGCUUUUGUGCUUGAUUUGAAUCUCUGAAACUUUUAGUUGUAAUUUUCUUGGGAGGGAAAAAAAAGUAUGGGAAGAAAGGUUGACAAAAUAGAAAGUUCAAGGAAACACUUAACCUUCCUCUUGGCUUCUGAACCUCAAGGUGCUAUUGUGAGUAAAAAAUGAUUAUGUACUCCAGUGAUAAAAAGUUUAGUGUUCAAAUGUACUUAAGAGGUAAUCCAUUUUAGUCCAUAAAUGGAAAUUAAGUAACACUUAAGUUUUAGGAAGUUCUUUUCACAGCACAAACCUGUUUCUCUUUAGCUUCUAUCCAUUGCUUAUAGUUUUGAUUUCUGGGGUCCAAACAAGUCCAAUUCAGCAAAUGUAUAUUAAAUGAUUAUUGUUUGCAAACCAAGCUCCUUGGUAAGGGAUUAUAUCUUAUCUAAACUAUCUCUUUUAACCACCAACAGUUUCACUUGAGAUUUUUGUUUUUUAACUUAAUCAGAUAUUGAAGAUAUCCUUCAAGUACCUAUUUGAAUUUUAAGCAAAUUUGUUACCCUCAUAUACAACUAAAACGUGUUAAUGAAAGUUACAAAGAAUGAAAGGUAGUCCUUUUUAUUUUUUUUAUUCUUGUCUCUAUUAAGUUAUUGUAUAAACAAAAACCUCAUGAAUAUUUGUCGAAAGUAAAGUAAACAUUUAAUGAAAGGUAAAAAUGCCCUAAGAACUUCAGCUUAAUAAAUUAACAUUUAUUAAUCAUACCCAUUACAAAGAACAACUCAAAGAUGGCUACUUGGUCUCUGUCCUUGAACAUAAAAUCCAAAAGAAAAAGUAAUACAUGUUCACAUAUAACACAGCUGCCACCUUAAGAAUCAGGAUUAUUGGAAUAAGUUGCUAAUUUGUCUCAGUUUCCUUAAACACAGAUUUGUGUGACUACACUUUGAAAGCAAUCCCAAUAAGUUUCCUGUUGUUAGGAAAAAGCACAAACCUUUUUAGCUCCUAAAUGUAUAUUCUCCCAUUCUGCAGUCUAGACAAACACCUCUCUUCCUGACAGUUUCAUCUCCUGUUUGGGUGCUUUUAUAUUAAUUAUUUUGUAUAUGCGAAAGGUGCUAAUAAUCCUGGCAAGAAAUAAAAUGAGUACAACUUUACCUAAUUUUAUAGUAAAAGCAUCUGAAUCAUUUAAUAGAAAACCUGGAACUAGGGGAGCCUAUUAAGGAGAGAGUAACUACUCUUGAGUGGGACAUGGUAAAGGAAAGGCUUUGUUUUUUUUUGUUGUUGUUGUUGUUUUUUUUUUUUUUUUUAACCACAGGAGCAAAUAAUUUUGUCAUAUUGUCAUAGUAUGUUUACCAACCAUCUAACUCGGUGAAUUAGACAGUGCAAGUGAAAAUUGAGAAAGGGAGUGUUGACAUGGCAGAAUCAGAGAGGUGUCAUAAGAAUUGAGGUUUGAAGAAUAAAAAUGUUUGAGCCUGUUGUAAAAUGAAAUGUUAAAAUAUGGCAAGUAGUUGAGUUAGAGGGAAAACUUAAAAUAUUAGAAAUAAAAUAAUAUGAAUCUGGAAAAUUAAGAGUAGAACCAAACCAGAAAAGUCUUAAAUUCCACUCUUUAAGAAGUUUGCACUUUGCCUCAAUGAUAAGAGAGGGGAACUAUUGAAGGUUUUUUAAGAAAAUGGUAACACACAUGACUUAGUAAGAUUCUGUUGAAAGCUAUGUCAGAAGAAAAUGGAAGCAGACACCACUGAUUUAAGCUGAGCUUUGCUAUAAAUGCAAAUAUAUAAUUCAUAUAUACUUGUAAAAUUAUAUUAUCAUAUAUAUAUAUCUUAAAUUAUAUUGAUUAGUAGUAAAAAUGAUGUGGGUUAUGAUUACAUCACUUUAAAGUUAUAAUUCAUUAAAACAAAAAUUAUAUCUUAUUUAUAGUUAUUCCCAAGUAAGGAUGAUCUGGAUUCCUUUUUAAAGCUAUCAUAUUGGGCUACAAGUGAAAUUUCACAAUAUUUCUGAAGUAACUCUUAAGAGAGCUUGGUUCCACUUUGCCUCACUGCAAAGAAUUCCUGGAUGCCGAAUCUGACGAUAUUACAAGGAAACAUUUCAGAGAAUUAAAAAAGUUCCUGUUGGCAUUGCCACCAUUCCAAGCUUUAAGUCUCAAGAACACAGUUCUUCGAAAGUGAGGACUGCUCACACUCCCCAAUGUGGCUGGGGAAACCUGGAGAAGGCAACAGCAUCCAGCAAAAUUUAUGAGAGCAUCUCACACCAGUAAAAGGUGUGAGGUAGCCCAAGCCAGUGGAAGGUGCAUCUGCAGCAGAUUCUUGUCCUCGGAGGAUAGUAGGCCACCUUGUGAAAAGAUUCCUGAUCCUGGAACAGUAAGUGACUUUGGGGACUUUGAGUGGGGGACUAGACUGCUGAUGCUGCCUGUAUCACCUGCAUACGUCUGUUCUAAUAAAAAUUUGCUUGGUGCCUUAUGGCCAGCAUGUGUGUAACUAGAUUAACACCAAAUUUUUCCAAAAAGGUGGAUUUCUUAGGUUCCUGGGUAUAUAAGUUAAGGGAAACAAUUCUCAAAAGUUGGAUCAUCAAUGCCACAAUUAUUUCUGUUUCAAGGGUAAUACAAGACUGAUUAGAUAGGAGAAAAGAUGGAGACAUACAGACCAGUAGAAGUCUGUUGCAGUAAGGCUAGAAUGAAGUUUUGAGGAUAAAUGAUCUUAAAAAUGGAAGCAUAAAUCCAAGAGAAGAAAUGACAAAGAUUCAAGAAAAUUAUCUAAGAAGACUCAGUAAUAGACUAAAUAUAGGAGAAGAAUUCCCAGGUAUCUAGACUUGAAGAUCAGGAGAAGAACCAGUACUCCUGAAAGAAAUGUCACAAUUAGCAAAAGAAUAUAUCUUUAAGAAGGAAUCCAAUUUUAAAUGUUAAGUAAUGGUAGAACAUACCAGAAGAAUUAUCUUAUAGAUAUUAGAAAAGGUAGAGCACAUCUAAAAGGGGAACUUAUAGACAUUGAUUUGGAAAUUACUCCCCUAGAUGUUAAAAGCUUCAUUGAGGACUACCAGUAGAGAUAAUUACUUCCUUUCUCCAAAGAGAGAGGAAAGAGAAGGAAUUUAGUCACUAAAAUAUAAAAGGCCAAUUGAGAAUACCACAUAAGCAAUCCAAAAUUGAAUUUUAAAAUUUCCCUUUUUUUCUUAGACUAUCAUAUUUCAUAGACUGUGCCUUCUAAAAAAUUUCUACAAUAAUAUCAUUUAUACAGUUAGACUCACAGAUACUAGGCAUGCUAUCCACCAACUGGAAAAUGUUGUAUUCAACAAUAUACAUGAUUCUUCCUCAUUGUUACUGG